rnacentral:tRNA from 1 species
GGAGGAGUUCCCGAGCGGCCAAAGGGAACAGACUGUAAAUCUGUCGUCACAGACUUCGGUGGUUCGAAUCCACCCUCCUCCACCA